UACGGAGGGUGCAAGCGUUAUCCGGAUUCACUGGGUUUAAAGGGUGCGUAGGAGGGCAGGGAAGUCCGUGGUGAAAUCUCCGAGCUUAACUCGGAAACUGCCGUGGAUACUCUCUGUCUUGAAUCCCGUGGAGAUGAGCGGAAUAUGUCAUGUAGCGGUGAAAUGCUUAGAUAUGACAUAGAACACCGAUAGCGAAGGCAGCUUGCUACACGAGUAUUGACACUGAGGCACGAAAGCGUGGGGAUCAAACAGG
rnacentral:rRNA from 1 species